rnacentral:tRNA from 1 species
AAGAAACUAGUAAAUAUAUUACAUUAGUUUGUCAAGCUAAAAUUACUUUUAAGUGUUGCUUA